UUUUAACACGAAAUGAGUGGCGAACGGGUGAGUAACACGUGGGUAACCUGCCCAGAAGUAGGGGAUAACACCUGGAAACAGAUGCUAAUACCGUAUAACAGAGAAAACCGCAUGGUUUUCUUUUAAAAGAUGGCUCUGCUAUCACUUCUGGAUGGACCCGCGGCGUAUUAGCUAGUUGGUGAGGUAAAGGCUCACCAAGGCAGUGAUACGUAGCCGACCUGAGAGGGUAAUCGGCCACAUUGGGACUGAGACACGGCCCAGACUCCUACGGGAGGCAGCAGUAGGGAAUCUUCCACAAUGGACGCAAGUCUGAUGGAGCAACGCCGCGUGAGUGAAGAAGGGUUUCGGCUCGUAAAGCUCUGUUGUUAAAGAAGAACGUGGGUAAGGAGUAACUGUUUACCCAGUGACGGUAUUUAACCAGAAAGCCACGGCUAACUACGUGCCAGCAGCCGCGGUAAUACGUAGGUGGCAAGCGUUAUCCGGAUUUAUUGGGCGUAAAGCGAGCGCACGCGGUCUUUUAAGUCUAAUGUGAAAGCCUUCGGCUCAACCGAAGAAGUGCAUUGGAAACUGGGGAGACUUGAGUGCAGAAGAGGACAGUGGAAACUCCAUGUGUAGCGGUGAGAUGCCUAAAUAUAUGGAAGAACACCAGUGGCGAAGGCG
rnacentral:rRNA from 1 species